rnacentral:rRNA from 1 species
AGUGAACGCUGGCGGUAGGCCUAACACAUGCAAGUCGAACGGCAGCACAGUAAGAGCUUGCUCUUACGGGUGGCGAGUGGCGGACGGGUGAGGAAUACAUCGGAAUCUACUUUUUCGUGGGGGAUAACGUAGGGAAACUUACGCUAAUACCGCAUACGACCUACGGGUGAAAGCAGGGGAUCUUCGGACCUUGCGCGAUUGAAUGAGCCGAUGUCGGAUUAGCUAGUUGGCGGGGUAAAGGCCCACCAAGGCGACGAUCCGUAGCUGGUCUGAGAGGAUGAUCAGCCGCACUGGAACUGGGACACGGUCCAGGCUCCUACGGGAGGCAGCAGUGGGGAAUAUUAGGCAAUGGGCGCAAGCCUGAUCCAGCCAUACCGCGUGGGUGAAGAAGGCCUUCGGGUUGUAAAGCCCUUUUGUUGGGAAAGAAACGCAGCAGGUUAAUACGCCGCUGUUCUGACGGUACCCGAAGAAUAAGCACCGGCUAACUUCGUG